rnacentral:misc_RNA from 1 species
AAGUCGUAACAAGGUCUCCGUAGGUGAGUAAAGUUCCCCCUCCCCACCUUUUUUUUUACUAGAUAGACCAGAACCAAAUACUAACUAACUAUUAAUAGGUGAACCUGCGGAGGGAUCAUUACCGAGGAUGGCGGCUCUUUAAGCCACCGCCUCACCACACUUUGCUUAAACCCCCCCUUUUUCGGGGUCACCUGCUUCGGCCGACGGCCGGCUGGGAGGGAGCGUGCUCCUGCCCAGCCGGCCCAAGGCCCUGCGGCGGGGCCCCCAAACUAAAAACCUAAGUAUCAGUGUGUCUAGGUGGCGAAAGCCGAACCAAACA